GGGGUUAAUAGGAAGGAGCUCAAUGUUGCUGUGAUUGAAGUGGUCAAGUGUUUACUCCAAACCAGCAGGGGGUAGCACUGUCUCUGCCCACAGCUCAAUACAGUUCUAAAACUCAGAGCAAGAGGCUAGUACUCUACCCCACCCCUACAUCCAUAAGUGGAUUAAUAAACUAAACUGAAGAACAGAGAACAUUUCCAGUGGACUCUAAACCAAUGCAAAAUACUCAGCUUCUCUGCCACAGAGAAUCAGCGUUGCUGCAGCCAACAGCGUGUGUCCAGUGGUGUUACCAGGGGUGAGGCCGUGAGGAAGAUGAGGCGUUUUCUGGUGGUCGUGUUGGUUCUCCUCUACAUCUGGCUUCACAAAGCACAGAGACCUGAAGUUGAUGGAAUUGCUUGUGACCAAGUCCCCUUUGUGAGUCAGCAAACCGCCUCCCUCCUGCUCUCCCCUGUGUCUCUCUACAGUUGGGUGGUCUCCACCAUGGUCAGACUCCUCCUCUCUGCCCCAGCCCUACUCCUCAGCUCUCUUUACUACUCUCUGCUCCUUCUCCUGGCUGCUCCUUGGGCCAGUGCCACUUUUUGUCUGCUUGGGGUACUAUCUUGCCUGCAGGUGGCUCUCUACCUGCUUCACCUAGGCUUGGUUGUGGCAACAGUGACCAUACUGGCUCUGACUCUGCAUAAAAUGGAUCCCAUUUCCAACUCCGGUGGGGAAGUCAGUCACCAGGAUAAACUGGAGGAGCAGAGGGAGAAGGGACACAAAUUGGGGUUGGGAGCCAUGUUGUCUUAGAAGGCUGCAUAUCAAGAGUAAUGUUAUCGUUUAAAAUAAAUGUUUCCUGUUGAUUUAACAACUUUGGUUAAUCACAUUUCAUUCUAUUCUGUUAUGUACUUCUCUCAUACUACAAACUAUGAUUAGAUUACUAACUUUUCAGUUUGAAUUUCAUUUCUUGGAGACCUUAGCAUGUGAGUAGUAACAGUAAAGGGUUGAUGGUUCACUCCUUGAUUUGGAGUGGGUUUGUACUUGACCAGACUCAAAGUUCUAUCCACAAACAAAUAUAUUUUUACAUUUCCUCAUUAAAAGAUUUUUGGUCAAUCAU